UCACUUUGAUGUCCUUGUAGGUGUAGA
rnacentral:piRNA from 2 species